AUAAAAAGUUUGAGGUGGCCGCUCAAGUAGCUCAAAGUUUGGUGAGUUGGAGGGAGGGGGUUAAAUCCAGAGAGAGAAGAUGAGCGACACAGAGGCGUCUGAGCAACCUCAGCCCGAGAGAAAAGUCAUCGCAACAGGUGUGCAAGGAACUGUGAAAUGGUUCAAUGUGCGCAAUGGAUAUGGCUUUAUCAAUAGAAAUGAUACUAAAGAAGAUGUAUUUGUUCAUCAGACAGCAAUAAAAAAGAAUAACCCAAGAAAGUUCCUUAGAAGCGUGGGGGAUGGUGAGGUUGUCGAGUUUGACGUUGUCGAAGCAGCUAAAGGCUCAGAGGCAGCGAAUGUGACCGGUCCAGGGGGUGUACCAGUCAAAGGCAGCCGAUACGCCCCCAAUAAACGCAGAUUUCGUAGGCGCUUUUACCCUCGCAAUGCACGUCCUGCUGAAGGAGAGGAGAAAGCUGGAGAAGCUGGGGAUGCUCCAACUGAUCCCACAACUGAGGGAGAGGGUAGCGAAGAGAAAGGAGCCCCUCGGCCACGUCCUCGGCGCCAGCGUCCACGCAAGAGACCUGUUCCACCACAAGGCGAGGGAGAAACAGCCGAGAAGAAUGAGGAAGUAGAUGGUGCCCAGCAGAGGCCGCCACCUCGCAGGUUCAGACCUCGAUUUCGAAGGCCGUUCCAGCCCCGGCCACCCCCUGGAGAGGCUCAACAGACGGUAGCCCCUGCAGAAGAGCAAGAGUCACCCCCUAAAGAGGACCAGACCAAUGGGGAGCAGACAGAUGAGCAGUCCCGGAAACCCUGCAGACAGUUCAGUCGGCGCAGACAGAGGAAAUCUGAAUCCGGUACCUCUAAAGAUGGAGACGAACCUGAAAAACCUGAGUCCCCAGCUCGGGACUCCAAGCCUGCUAAUGUCAAAUCCUCUUCUGAAACGUCCCCUAAAAAUGAGGCACCUGUCCCUACAGCUUCCAAGCCCUCAGAAUGAUUUCUGUGACCUGGAGGAAGUCAUGUGACCCUGGCAAGAGGUGGGACUUCCAGAGCUAAACUGAUUUUAAAGGUUCCAAGAUGGGUUAGUUUGUGGGGUUGAACCUCGCCUGUCUCGUCAAACAUCUUGCCCCUCGCUUCUACGUCAUUGUCCCUCCCCCAAACUGAUCCACUGCUUGUGGUCUGGACCCUUCAUCUGUCAGGGAGAGCGAAAGAGGGAUGGAUGGAAAGGCAGGAGCUGGUGGGGAAGGGAGGGUUGGGUUGAUGCAUACUUGGCCAUUUAAAAGUAAAUAGCAAAAAAAAAAAACCUGCUCUAAAAGCCCAUUAUAUUUCCCCUUAAUAGUUUUGUUCUGUACUAUGGGUGAUGAGCAGUAGAGAAAAUGUGACCAGUUCGGCUACUUUAAGUUCAUCAAAGAGAGGAAAUGCCAUCCAGUGUGAUGAGCACAGACUCUUCUCUUACUUGUAACUUGAUAAAAGGGGAAAACAUGCAUCCAAUCAAAAUUCAAUUUGGUUUAAAAAUUGUCCCUUUUUCUUUUAUUUUGGUAUGUACUUUACUUUGGUGGGGAUUUUGUGCAAUGCCAGUAAAGUAAAUAAAUUAUUUGCUGAC